rnacentral:lncRNA from 1 species
CUUAAUUACAUAACUGGUCCCCUAACUUAUUUGUUGUUUUCGAUUUGAUCCCUUAUCUUUAAAAAAAUUCAAUUUGGUCCCUUAAAUAUGUUCCGUCAGUCAAAUUGAUCCAUUCCGUUAGUUUUUUUAUGUCUAAUAUUUUAGAUGCGAUUUCAGCCAUUAGAUUGCAGGUCCAUCAUAUAUAAGAGUGAUCUACCAAUACCUAUUUUUUUGCAGUUUGCUCCUCAGAGGUCUCAGGUUCGAUUCCCUCUGGUGCCAAUUUCGGUGGGCUAAGUCCAUACAGAACUUGCUCUGGCUUUAAACGGGGCCCCCGCAAGUGGGCGGUGGGAUUGAUCCCCUCGAAUUAGUCGAUUCUUAGAUCGGAUACCGAGUUUUCAAAAAUAAAAAUAAAAAUAUUGCAUACGAGUUACUCCUUCAAUCAUUCCCAAAUCAACAUAACUUGACAACCUACCAAUCCUUGAGCCGAAAUCCAACUUGGAAUCAAAAAACAAAGCUGUGAACUGAGGAAAAGAAGCUCAAACGCUGUUGCACCGUUACUGAGAUUUGAAACCCAAACAUGAUAACGGAUUUGCAAUCCAUUAAUUGAUAGAGAGUAAGAGAAAGAAGAUGGAAGGAGAGAAAGAAGAUGAUGUUUUGAUAUUGAUAAAUGGAUCUACAAAGAAGAAGAUGGAUCUCAUUAUGUCCCUAACUUUUGUUUUAGUCCCUAUAAUAUUUGGAUUAUGUUGAAUUCCUGUCAUAUAUUAGUUCUUAUAAGAUAUGUUGAAUUAGUUCUUAUAAGAUAUAUAGUAAUGACUUAUUUAAGGGACUAAUUUUAAAAAAAAGUAAUAACGAAAAACAAAAUAUUGAGAUUUUAUCCAAAAAAAGAAGUUUAAUAAAAAUGAUUAAGAAUAUUUGAAAGAGAUCAUUAGUUAUUUGUUGGUUGUAAUUUUUUGACAAUUGAAAACAUUACACUGAUAGUUUACCAAGCUUAAAUUCCUUAAAAAUAUUACAGUUGGGAGUGAGGGACUUAGAAUAUUUUAAAACUUUUUUUAUUCUUUGAUUAAAAAAAUGUGAUAUUUUGAUACAUAAUAAGUAAGAGUAUGUAUGUAUAACAUGGAUCUUUUAAAAAUGGUCUGAAUGUGAACCUUUACAACUUUUAGUAAAAAUUAGUUUUAUAAUAAUAAAAAAUAGAGAACAAAAAUAAUAUUUUAUUAAUUUUUACUAAAAAUAGUAUAAUCCACCGUUGAACCGGGUACAUGUUAGAUAAGUUUUAUAAUUAAUACAUUUUUCGUCAGAAAAAUAAUACAAUUGUAAGGACAACUAAUGUCAAAUUAUCUUUAAUUAUUCAUUGCAGGGUAAACUAGUACUGGAUGAAUAAAUAAGACUUUGUUUGUGGUUACAACCAAGACAAAUAAAUAAACGAGAUGGAUUUACUAUCACAAAAGAAAAUAAAAUAGGAUGCUUUAAUUAUAUUUCUCCUGGUUGUAAUUGAAUCCCACUAGGGAUCAUUGUACUAUGAAUUUCAAUAAAUAAAAUAAAGUUUUUUUUUAGAUUAUCUUUGAAGAAUGGUGGGUAAUUUACCCACCAACCAAUGAAAAUGAAUAAUUUAUUGGUGGAAUCAAAAUAGUUCAUGGAUACCACCUAAUUAAUUAUCACCAGAGCGUGUGCAUGUUCGAUGCACCAUGUUUAUUACAUUUGUUUUUGUUAACAAAACCAUGUUAAUAGAAUAUAAUAAAACAUUAUUAUGAUAAUAUUUAACAUCUCCUCUCAAACUCAUGAUGCAUUAACAUGGAGCAUCAAGAGUUUGUCAAUCAAGAAAUAAAAUGUUUGAUUGUCUUUGUGAACGAAUCAGCAAUCUGCAAGGAGGACGGCAUGCAUAAAGAGUAGAGUAAUUGUUCCAUUUUGAAGAUGAUGACGAGUAAAGUGAGAAAGACCAAAUUGUGAACAAUUUGAAUGACACUCUUGUCAUCACAAUAUAUGGGAGUUGGUUUAGAGAGAGUGACACCCAUAUCAGAAAGUAACCAACAUCCAAACUAUUUCGGUAGUGGUGGACGCCAUAACACAGUUCUCAUCUUCUGUAGAUGAACGGAAUACAAUAUCUUGUGCAAUUGAAAAUAGGAUGCUUUAAUUUCUCUGAAAUGUUUCGGCUCAAAAUAUUCAUCAUGUCAUAUUUGUAUUCACAAUCAUCUCUCUCUCUAUAUAAUUUUUUUUUUUAAACAACCAAAUAUUAUUAAGGUAUAGCCUGCACAAGGAGAACAAAACUAGCCAAAAAAUGAUAAAAUUCAAGAGGCGUCGUAUAUAUACGAAACGCCACAGACCUAACCAAACCUGUUACAAGAUAGGCCACCCCCAAAACUGCUGCUACGGUGCUACCAAAAAUAAAAACAAACAUUGUCAAGCACGGUUGCAUAUUAAUGAUUGGGAUUAGAUCAUGUUGUAGUGAUAAAUGCUCAAAAGUGAUAUAUUUCUUGUGUUAAUUUAGGCACUUUAGUGAUUUGUUUUGCAAAUUACUUAAGGGAAAAGCUACAAUUUGAUACAAUUAUGCCAUUUAUGCUUUAAUGCCUUAUUCUACCCCUUUUUGUGCAAGAAAAUACAAGAAAGGACCAAUAAUCAACCAAAGUUCAUAAUUUUUGGCUUAUAGCGGAUUUUUUUGGCUUAUAGCGAGUUUUUUUUUGGCUUAUAGUGAGUUUUGUCCAGAGGCAACUCGCUAUAAGCGAGUCAAGCAAGUUCAAGAGGAUAAGAGACACGUGGAGCUCAUCCAUUGGAGUAGAGCAGAUUUUCGUGCAACUCACUAUAAGCGAGUAAAUUUCGCUAUAAGCGAGUUUGACAGAUUCAACCAUAUAAAUAACUUUUCUCUCAUUUUUUUAGGGAUUCAUUCAUUGUUGUUGAUAAUUUAUGAUUUUUAGAGAGAGAGUGAGGGAUGGCAUUUCUAGAGAGAGAAACAUGAAUCAAGAGUGUUUGAGGUAGAAUCUUCACAAGAUUUGUAAAGGAAUCAUGGAUCUUGUCUUGAAUCUUCAUCUUUUCUUCCACUUUUUCAAGGCUACUAUGAAAGUAAGUAGCUAAAUCUAUCCUUUGGAGUUAGAGGUACUUGAUCAAACUAAUAUGUAUUCCUUUUGAUACUUAAAUAUAUGGUUCUAGCUUAUUUAUUCAAUAUUAUUAUUAUUAUUAUUAUUAUUAUUAUUAUUAUUAUUAUUAUUAUUAUUAUUAUUAUUAUUAUUAUUAUUAUUAUUAUUAUUAUUAUUAUUAUUAUUAUUAUUAUAAUUAUAAUUUAUCAAAACUUUAAUUCUAGACAUGGAAUUUAGGUUUUGAUAAUCACUUUGAAUAUUGGAACGCAAAGCUUUUGUAUCGUUUAAUAGUUCGGGAUAUCGACAAUACAACGAUGCAAUCGACUAUUGUAUCGUUUAAUAGUUUGGGAAAUCGGAAUUUAAAUAGUCCAUUAGAAUUCGCGACAUCAUUUGGACACGAAUGAUGCUGUUGAGCGACAUGUAAUAAUAUCGAGUAAAGCUAGAAUCUGUUUAAGCGAUCAUAAGAGUGCACUAUUUAAUGCUUGGUCAACGACUCUAACCCCAUGCGUGAAUUACCCUACCUCGUCUCAAUUUUAUUGCUAGAUUCGAAUUUAGAUUAGUUUUUAAUCAAUCAAAUCAUUUGAAUCAUAAGUUUAGAACGAUAUCGAUUGUUGAACGACUUGAAUAUCGCACUAGUCCAUGUGGAGACGAUACACAAAAAUACUUACUUUUGAUACUACAUCAUGUAGCUUUCAAGAGAAUUUCACCACCCUUAGAAGGAGUCGGACUCUUCUAUGAAUAGCAUACACUUUCUCUUGUAAGCGAGAAAAAUUUUCAUCUACUAUAAACAACCUUACCAACACUUCGUACAUGGACUUUACCGUAAACACUCAACACUAUUCCGAAAGCCACACCCACUUAUCCUCCUCUUAGCACAACCCUAUACCAUCCAACAACACCAAAAGAAUAUUAGAUAAAUCCAUCUCCGAAAGAAACAUACCUCUGCACCAUGCAAAAGAUCAUCUCCACAAACCUUAUACAUAUUCCCCCAUUUCACCAAGCAUAGAUAAUAGUGAGUUUCUGAUAAUUUAUGAGUUUGUUGAAGGAGUCGGAUAUUUUUGAUUAAUUAUUUUACGAAAAAAUUAAAUUCAAAUAAAAGAACGUAACAUGACUUUAAAUGUCUAAUAAACAUGUAUUUUGUCAAUUUAACAUAACAUACAUGUAGUUUUCCAUUAUCACGUGCCACUAAAGUUCAAAACUGAAUGAAUUUUAAAUAAUAGAGGUUGAAUGAAAAAAAUCACAUGAAAGAGAAUGACUUAUAAAAAAACUAUGUUAAAAUAAUCAAUUAGACAAAUGACAUCUAAAAACUAAAAGAACAAUUCAUUAUGUUGUGACAUUUGAGGGAUCCUACCGUGAGUUUGAUCAUCCCAUUAGAUAAUGAUAAUUCACACAAGUGAGUUUGACACUGCAUUUUCACCAUAAACCUUAAGAAAUUAGGUAUAUGUGUCAUAUCGUUUAUAUGUUGUUCAACAUGUACUAUUGUAACUGAUAUAGAACUUUAACUCAUAGUUGACAUGUUAACAUCUCUCUCAAGUACGAGAGUGCAUGUGAGAUCUACCACCAAGAACCACUUCUGCUUCUUCACAAAGUCAAAUCGAGCUAUGAUACCAUAUGUUGACCUUAUGGGGAAGUCCAUAUUGGUGUCGGUCAACCCAUUAGACAGAGAGUAAAGUCAAAUCAAGUACGAGAGUGCAUGUGAGAUCUAAAAAAACCUCUUUCAGUAUCAUUUUAUUAUUAAAAUCUACGUAGAGUAGAGUCUGACUCAAAAGUCCUGAUCGAACCUAGAUCUACGGAAGUGGUACCAUGAAUACAAAAUCAGCCCGAUUCUUCCCCAAUGAUCUCAUCACUGAGGUCUUAUCAGUUCUUCCUGUGAAAUCUAUUAUUCGAUUCAGAUGCGUUAGCAAUUCUUGGAACAUUCUCAUUUCUGAUUCCACCUUUGUGAAAUUUCAUCUCAAGAGAUCAAAAGCUCGAAAUCCAUUCUUCACACUGAUCACGGAUCACUUCACAUAUACCCAAGGUGAAUCCCCUUAUGGAAGUGACGAUGAAUCUGAGUAUGAUCGCACUGUCGUUCCCUACUCCAUACGUAGUUUAAUAGAGAACCCAUCUUUCAACCUUACGGUUGAUCCUUACUAUGAAUUAAAUGCCAAAGGAUGCUCUGGUAUAGUUGGUACCUGCAAUGGAAUCUGUUUGCUCGAUUCUUUUGACGGAUUCUUGUUAUGGAAUCCAUCCACUAGGGAAACAUCUAAAAGUUUUGACUGUGAUUUUGACUUUUCUGGAUCCGAUCAUUCUGGUUUUAUGUUUGGUUGUGAUGAUUCAACCGACAUUUAUAAAGUGGUAGCAUUCAGUUACUCUCAUGCUCAUUUGAAAAACGAUGUGAGAGUUCUCAAUUUCGGUGAUGAUCGUUGGAGAAAUAUUGAAAGUUUUCCUGCGGUUCCUCUUCAAAUUUACACUGUUGUAGAUUAUGUAUAUUUGAGUGGCACUAUUAACUGGUUGGCUAUCCAUAAUGAAUAUUGUUAUCCUGAAAGCAAUAUUAAGGAUAUUACUGUUGACCAGUUUGUUAUUGUUUCACUUGAUUUGGGGACUGAGAAAUACAAUCAAUACCGACUGCCUCCAAGUUUUGAUGAGGUGCCGUCUGCAUAUCCUAUUGUUGGUGUGUUGGGGGACUGCCUUUGUUUUUCUUAUUCUAAGGAAACUGAUUUUAUUAUAUGGCAAAUGAAGAAAUUCGGGGUUGAAGAUUCUUGGACUCAAUUCCUUAGAAUUAGUUACCAUAAUCUUCAAAUUGAUUAUGACUAUAGUUUUGAAACUACAAAGUGUCACUUUCAAUUGGCGCCGGUUCUUCUUUCUGAGGAUGGUGAUACAUUGAUACUGAAAUCCAUCCUAGAAGAUUUCCAAGCAAUUCUCUAUAAUUGGAGAUCUAAUACAGUAGAGCGGACAAACAUUAUGUUGAACGUGUGUAUCAGCAGUUGUGACUGCCAGCUGCACUGAUUGACCAAGUCUUUAGGAGAAUUUGUUUUAAUAUUUCAAUUUUUAAAUUAGCUAAUAAAGUAGUGGCUAAAGAUUAGGAGUUAGUUACUUAGUAUUUGUUUUUAUUUAAGUCACAGCUUUGUAUUUUGAUAGUAGUUUUUUUAUUCAAUAAAGCUUCAGUUUUUCCUUUCCUAUUUUAUGAGUUACGUAUAAACACCAACAGAUUGGUAUCUAGAGCCUUCUUCUUAGAGGGACUUGUGAGUGAAGUGAGUGAAACCCACCAUAAAAGCUUAAACACUACCUUUCAUUUCAUCAAUCAGAUGGAUUCUGAAACAUCCUACAAAGCCCCACCUUUACCUGUGUUUGAUGGUGAAAACUAUCAUAUAUGGGCAGCAAGAAUAGAGGCAUACUUAGAGGCAAAUGACCUCUGGGAAGCUGUUGAGGAGGACUACGAAGUUCUUCCUUUGUCAGACAAUCCAACAAUGGCUCAGAUAAAAAAUCACAAGGAAAGGAAAACAAGAAAGUCAAAAGCAAGAGCUACUUUGUUUGCUGCUGUCUCAGAAGAAAUCUUCACCAGAAUUAUGACCAUCAAAUCAGCAUUUGAAAUAUGGAAUUUCCUCAAAACUGAAUAUGAAGGAGAUGAAAGAAUUAGGGGAAUGCAAGCGCUUAAUUUGAUUCGAGAAUUUGAGAUGCAAAAGAUGAAGGAGUCUGAAACAAUUAAAGAGUAUGCAAAUAAACUUAUUAGCAUUGCUAACAAAGUAAGAUUGCUUGGUUCUGAAUUGUCUGAUUCAAGAAUAGUUCAGAAAAUACUCGUGACUGUCCCUGAAAGAUUUGAAGCAACCAUCACUUCCUUGGAAAAUACCAAGGACAUGUCAAAGCUUACCGUGGCGGAGCUUGUAAAUGCUAUGCAGGCCCAAGAACAAAGAAGAAUGAUAAGGUCUGAAGGAUCAGUGGAAGGAGCAUUACAAGCUAAAUUAAAAAUCAACAAAGGAGAAAAGAGCAUGGGAAAUAAGUAUAAGAAGAGUUUCAACAAACAAGAAGCAGUUGGAAGCACUAGCUACAAAAAUGAAGAAAAAAAUAGAGAAUUUCCUCCUUGCAAGCAUUGUGGAAAAUUCGGUCAUCCUCCUUUCAAAUGUUGGAGAAGACCUGAUGUGAAGUGUGACAAGUGCAACAAACUUGGGCAUCACGAGAGAAUUUGCAGAAGCAAUUUUCAACAAAGUAAUGAGGCUCAAGCUGAAGAUCAAGAAGAAGAAGAAGAAGAGGAAGAGCAGUUGUUUGUAGCAACAUGUUUUACAAGCAGUAGCUCAAGUGAAUGUUGGCUAGUGGAUAGUGGUUGUACCCAUCACAUGACCCAUGAUAAAGAAAUAUUCAGAGAGCUGGACAUAUCACAAAUAUCAAAAGUCAGAAUCGGUAAUGGUAAACUGAUUGCUGUUGAAGGAAAAGGAACCGUGGCCAUUGAAAGUUGCACAGGUACAAAGCUAAUUUCUGAUGUUUUAUAUGUACCUGAGAUAAAGGAUUUAAAGUCAUCUUUGAAAAUAAGCAAUGUUUGAUCAAAGAUGCCAAUGAUAAGGUAAUUUUCAGCAUUAAAAUGAGAAGCAAAAGUUUUUCAUUUGAUCCAAUGAAGGAGGAGCAAAUAGCUUAUCCAGCUAUUGUUAAUAGUACAGAGAUAUGGCACAAAAGAUUAGGCCAUUUUCAUCAUGCAGCAGUAUUGAAUUUGCAAAGAAAGAAUUUGGCUCAAGGUUUGCCUCACUUAGAUGCUGAAUUACCAAGCUGCAAGGUAUGUCAGUAUGGUAAGCAAGUAAGAUUACCGUUCACGCAAGCAACCUGGAGAGCAACAGAGAAGCUGCAACUGAUUCACACAGAUCUGGCUGGACCGCAAAGAACAGCUUCACUUAAUGAGAGCAAAUACUACAUUGUCUUUAUAGAUGAUUACACCAGAAUGUGCUGGAUUUAUUUUCUCAAGUCCAAGUCAGAGGUUGCUGGGGUAUUUUGGAGAUUUAAGAAUUGGAUUGAAAAACAAAGUGGCUGUGUGAUUCAAGUUUUGAGGUCUGACAAUGGCACUGAGUACACAUCAACACAAUUCACUAUGUUCUGUGAGGAGGCAUGCAUUGAGCAUCAACUUACAGCUCCUUACACCCCUCAACAAAAUGGAGUGAGUGAAAGGAAGAACAGGACAAUAAUGGAAAUGGUCAGAUGCAUGCUUCAUGAGAAAGGGUUGCCUAAGGAAUAUUGGGAAGAGGCUGCAAGCACAGCUGUAUUUUUACUUAACAGACUUCCCACCAAAGCAGUAGACGGAAAGACUCCUUUUGAAGCUUGGUAUGGUUACAAGCCUCUCUUGAAAAAUUUUAAAAUAUUUGGAUGCUUGUGUUUUACUUAUGUGCCACAAAUUAAAAGAGACAAGUUAGAUAAGAAAGCUGAACCUGGUAUAUUUGUGGGUUAUAGCUCAACAUCUAAAGCUUAUAGAGUUUUCCAACCUAACACAGGAAAAUUUUUGAUAAGCAGGGAUGUGCAGUUCAUGGAGAAUGAGAAGUGGAACUGGAAUGAUACAGAAAAUAAGCCAAUAGCUGAUCCUUUGCAAAAUCUAGAUGAGUUAGUUGAUGAUCCUCCUGUAAGAGGUACCAGAUUGCUUUCUGAUGUUUAUGAAAGAUGCAAUGUUGCAGUCCUUGAACCUGCAGGAUAUUGGGAUGCAAAAGAAGAUCCCAAAUGGAGGGCUGCAAUGCAGGAGGAGCUUACCAUGAUUGAUAAAAACCAGACUUGGAAACUUGUUAAAAGGCCUGAGCACAAAAGAUUCAUAGGGGUGAAGUGGGUGUUUAGAACAAAGCUAAACGCAGAUGGAUCAAUCAACAAGCAUAAAGCCAGAUUAGUGGUUAAAGGGUAUGCUCAAAUUUUUGGAGUAGAUUUCUUUGAUACAUUUGCUCCAGUUGCAAGGCAAGAUACUAUUAGAAUGUUGUUAGCUAUUGCAGCACAAAAGGGAUGGAAAAUAUGUCAUCUUGAUGUCAAGUCAGCAUUUUUAAAUGGAUUUCUAGAGGAAGAAAUAUAUGUUGAGCAACCUGAAGGUUUUGUUGUGAAAGGGCAUGAAGAUAAGGUCUAUCUAUUGAAGAAGGCCUUGUAUGGUUUGAAACAAGCUCCAAGAGCUUGGUACAACAGGAUUGAUGAGUACUUAGUGCAGUUAGGCUUUGUUAAAAGUCUAAGUGAAUCCACUUUAUAUAUCAAAGCUGAUGAAGCUAAUUUUUUGGUGAUCUCUUUAUAUGUUGAUGAUCUCCUAGUUACUGGCAGUAGUGCUGAACUGAUUCAACAGUUCAAGGAUGAUAUGAUGCAAGUGUUUGAGAUGUCAGACUUGGGAGAAAUGUCUUAUUUCCUUGGCAUGGAAGUUAAGCAGAAAAAUGGUGAUAUAUUCAUCUGUCAAAGGAAGUAUGCAAAAGAGAUGUUAAAGAAAUUCAAUAUGGAUUACUGUAAAAGCAUGAACACUCCUAUGUGUCCAAAGGAGAAGCUAUGCAAGGAUGUUCAAGAAGAACAAGUGGAUGAAACACUCUACCGAAGUUUAAUUGACUGCUUAAUGUAUCUUACAACUACAAGACCAGAUAUUUUGUAUGCUGUAAAUGUUCUUUCAAGAUUCAUGAACUGUGCUAAAGAAUCUCAUUUCAAAGGAGCAAAAAGAGUGUUGAGGUAUGUCAAGGGAACCUUAAAUUAUGGCAUUAAGUUCUGUCGAUCGGAAAAAUUCAAGUUGCAAGGUUACUCUGAUAGUGAUUGGGCAGGAUCUUUAGAUGACAUGAAAAGCACUUCAGGCUACUGUUUUAGUUCUGGGACAGGGAUAUUCUCUUGGAGUUCAAAAAAACAAGAAAUUGUUGCACAAUCAACAGCUGAAGCAGAGUUUAUUGCAGCCACAGCAGCUGUUAAUCAGGCCUUGUGGCUAAGAAAAGUUCUAACUGAUUUACAUUUAGAGCAAAAGGAAACUACUGAGGUAAUGGUGGACAACCAGGCAGCCAUUGCCAUCUCCAAAAAUCCUGUCUUUCUUGGUAAAACAAAGCAUUUUAGUAUUAAAUUAUUUUUCCUCAGAGAUGUCCAAAAGGAUGGUGAUGUGUGUUUGAAGUACUGCAAGACUGAAGACCAACUGUCAGAUAUCUUUACAAAAGCUCUUCCAAAAGGCAGGUUUGAGUUACUAAGGGAGAAACUUGGAAUAUCCAACUACUGAUACAAGGAGGAGUGUUGAACGUGUGUAUCAGCAGUUGUGACUGCCAGUUGCACUGAUUGACCAAGUCUUUAGGAGAAUUUGUUUUAAUAUUUCAAUUUUUAAAUUAGCUAAUAAAGUAGUGGCUAAAGAUUAGGAGUUAGUUACUUAGUAUUUGUUUUUAUUUAAAUCACAGCUUUGUAUUUUGAUAGUAGUUUUUUUAUUCAAUAAAGCUUCAGUUUUUCCUUUCCUAUUUUAUGAGUUACGUAUAAACACCAACACAUUACUGCUAGUAGAACUAUUACUGAUGAUAGGACCAUAGAUUAUGUUGCCUGGGAAUCGAUCAUGAAUUAUGUUGAAAGUUUAGUUUCAAUUUUUUGAAAGUAAGUUCCUCUCCCAUGGUUUACUUGUUUAAACUAGUUUUAACUUAUAAUGUUUAUAUGUUGUUUUCAAAAUAUAUAAUAGAUUUUGUGAAUAUUCUUUUUUAUGAUGGCUUAGAUUGAUUUUAUGUUGAUUUCAUAAUGUUGAAUAGAUUGUAUGAAUCAGUUUUAAUUUGAACCAUUUCACUUAAAGUUAGAAAGUCAAACUCUUACGAUCGAGCUGACAUAUCUUUGACAUAAAAAAAGAGGGAAUUGCAUUAGUAGAAGUUAUCCUGACAAGAUAGGACAUUGAAGUAGCAGACACACCUUUGAUUUUGUUUACACCCACGCACGAUCAUUUAUGCUGAUUCUGUUGAAGCAUUGAUUGAUAUAUAUCUACUUACAAUUGCUUUUGGAUCAUAUGACAAAAUUUCCUUUAUCAAUUUUUAAUGUAUGUCUAAAUUUUUAUUUCAUGACAUACGCUUUGGCUAUGUUAAUAGCUUCUUGGGCUGAUGGAGGAAGAAAUCAUCCACAAGCAAUUCAAAUGCUUUGAGGAAGGAGCUUAGGUCAAAACUCAAAGAUGUUGUUGAAGGAAAUGAAGAUAUUUGUUGUGUUUAAUUGCAUGUUUUGUGGCACAGAAGAUACUUGUUUUGAGUCCUCAUAUUGAUAUUUCAUGCACAUGCCAAUUAGGUACUGUGUAUGUGAAUUGGGAUUAUGUUAUUUUAAGAAAAUUAUUUCUUUAGACAUAGUUUGACUUUUGUUAUUCUGCAAAACUAAUUGGUACCUUAGAAUAAGUCUUCAAAUGAGACAGUAGAGGCUGUGGCAUAUACAAGCAUAUCUUAUUUCCUGCAUAGCCUUAUUCAUUGAUUUUGAUACCUUGUAUUCAUUGAUUUUGAUACCUUGUGUGUUCUGUUUUCAAAUGAUGAAAAUAACUUUGAAGAUUAAUUGUGGUUAAACACACAUAAUAAGAGUCAAAUCUUAUGAUGGUACAAAACACUCAAACCAUAAAUAUUUUUUAAUGAAAUCUUUUCCUACAGUUUCAUAUGACACAACUAGGCUUCUGUAUCAAAAUCAAGUAAAGUGGUUCAUUAUAACUUGUUUUUUUUCCUUCCCAAAAGUGCAAAAUACUCAAUUAGUAGACAAAAACAGACAUUUCAGUCAAAAAAGGAUUCUCUGUGCUCAAACAAUGAUUGAGUUUUGUGAAUUUGAAGGUUCAAAGGGAUAUUUAAAGGAUUAUACGUGGAGUUUGAGCUAAAUAGGUGUUUGUAGAAUCUAGAAUAAAAGAUAUAUGAUUCCACAUAUUAAAAGUAACAUAAAAGUUAUAUAGUUACAAACUUCUAUAUUAAAAGAUUCACCAAAAAAACUUCUAUAUUAAAAGUAAAAGUAAUAAUAUUUUUUUCCCAUAAAACCGAUAAUAAUUUAAAAUUGCCUAAAAAUAUCAUAAAAAAUAGCUUUAAAUCUAAAAAAAAAAGUUGGAAAAACACACUCUACGACAUGUCCCCGUGAUUGGUAAGGAUAAUGUAUAAUACAUUUAAAGUCCGAGUUUAAACCCCGGCACCACAAAAAAAAAAAAAAAAACACAUUCAGGUUGCCGGCUGCAAUCAUACAAUCAUGACUCUGUUGCCGGCUGUGUUCUUCUCCGACGGUCUCAUUGGCGAGAUCUUCUCCGUUCUUCCAGUGAAAUCUCUUCUGCGAUUCAGGUGCCUCAGCAAGUCUUGCGACACUCUCAUUUCGGAUCCCACCUUUGUGAAAUUACAGCUCAAAAGAAGAUCAGCAACACCAAAUCCACAUUUCCUACUAAUCUUAUCAGACAGUCUGUCAUUCACUAUUUCCAUGGAUCCUUACUAUACGGUGAAAACAAAGGAUGCUCCCGCAUUGUUGGUUCCUGCAAUGGAUUGAUCUGUUUGACUGAUUGUUCCUUCACCUAUGAAGAUAAAGAGUACUGGCUUUGUUUAUGGAACCCAGCCACCAGGAUAACAUCUCCAAUAUUUGGGUAUUUUCGUGAAAAGUGCAAUUCUCUAUAAGACGUCCCUUUCUUGUUUGAUGGAAAUUACAAAUUCUACUUUGGUUAUGAUGAUUCUCCUGACACUUAUAAGGUUUUGGCUGUGCGUUACAAUCGACGUGAACUGAGAAGCAAUGCGAGAAUUCUAGGUUUUGGCAAUAACGAUUGGAGACAUAUUGAAAGUUUCCCUGUUGAUCCUAUUUCUUUGGACUAUGAUGGCCCAACUAGUGUGUCUGAUGGUGUGUAUUUCAGGAGUACUCUUAACUGGCUGGCUAUUCAAAAUCAAUUACAAUAUAUUCUCAGCACUAUUAAAGAUAUCACUGUUGAGAAUUUUGUUAUUGUUUCAUUUGAUUUGAGAACUGAGACAUACAAUCGGUACUUCUUGCCUCGUGAUUUUGAUGAGGUGCCACCUGCACAACCAAAUAUAGGUGUGUUGGGGCGACUGUCUUUGUUUUUCUUAUUGUUACAAGGAAACUGAUUUCAUUAUAUGGCAAAUGAAGAAAUUUGGGGUUGAAGAUUCUUGGACUCCAUUACUUAAAAUUAGUUAUCAAAAUCUUCAAAUUGAUUAUGACUAUAGUUUUGAUUUCAUGAAGUAUCAUUUUAACUUGCAAUCCUUGUUUCUUUCUGAGGAUGGUGAUACACUGAUAUUGGAUAGCAGUCAAGAAAUGGAAGUAAUUCUGUAUAAUUUGAGAGAUAAUACAGUAAGGCGAACAGAAGCUUCUGUAAGUAGUUCUAUUAUCGAUCAUAGAACUAAUGUUAGAACAAGCACUAGUAUAUCUUGGUACAUGGCCAUGGAUUAUGUUGAAAGCUUAGUUUUGAUUUGUUGAAAGUAAGUUUCUCUUCCUGGGUUGCAAUUGCUUUAGGAUGAUAUGACUGAUUUUAUAUUAUUUCUUUUAAUUAUUCACAAAUUUUUUGGUUAUUUUGUUAGCGUCCUGGGUUGCUGAAGGAAGAAAUCAUGCAAAACCACUUCAGAUGCUUUUUGAGGAUCUCAAGGCCAACUCAAAGAUGAUGUUGUUGAACCAAGUUAAGAUCAAUUUUUCUGUGUUUGAUCACAUGUUUUGUGGUAUUGAAGAUACUUGUACCGAGUCAGAUAAGAUUAUUCUAAGAAAAUAAACUUAGAUAAUUUGCGAUAGAAUUCUGAUGAAAAAAUUAUUCUGCAAAACUAAUUGUCUCUUUCAAGAUAUAUUAUGACUUUUGUGGCAUGGAGCAUGCAUGUUAUCUGUUAUGACCCUUCGUUUGCAUUUUUGUUGCAACUAGUACAAACUCCUGCAUUUUCAUGAUUAUGUGUCCCAUGGUGUUGAUGUUUCUUUGGGGGUGCAUUUUGGAAAGAAUCAAUAUAUUCUUAGAACUAGAAUAAGUCUUCCCCUUGAUGACAUGCAUUGAAAUUUCAUACCUAUUUUUCGUCAUUAUUUUCAUAAUAUCCGCUUGCACGGGAUCAUUAUAAGCUAGUAAAAUACAUAAAACAAAUGAAAUCUCUAUUCUCACUCACACAAGAGAAAAGACCAUUGGUUUGUAAUUUAGUUUAAAAUAUUUGAUGCAUGAAAAUAGGUUGAAGGGUCAUCCAGUCUAUAUGAACCAAACAUGAAUGUGUGUUUGGGUUGGGUGAGAAUGAGAGAACCAUAUGUCUUUAACCUUUAUGCAAAAAAUUACAUUGAACUUGGUAAUGAAGCAGCACAACAUAAUGAAAUUCAGCAUACUUGAAAAUUUACCGAUGUCAUGAAAUUAAAAGUUUCUGAUUUCAUGUGUUUAAACAUGUGAAUGAUGUUUAACUAUAUAUAUUUACCCAAAUAUGUGUACGUGUUUGUUAAUGUUUAGCUUUAUAUUCCCUGACACCGAUACUUAAUAUUUAUGUUGGCGAUCUGUUUUAAAAUGGUGGUGGUUUUACUAGAACAGCGACCCAUAAUAACCAUAAUCGGUGAUAGAACUACCUCAAACUUGAAAUUUUAUAUACAUUUUUAUGAACAUGUUUGUUUAUGAUAUGAAAGCUCUAAAGUACAACCAUAUUAACCGAGCAUGAUGUUACUUAGACGAGGCCCUCAUGUGUAAUGUACGAACUAAAAAUAAUAAUAAUGAUAUGUUUGAUUUGAUAAACGUGGUCAAAUUACUAGAACCCCAAUAUGUGCAUAUUGCGAAUAGAAGUUCCAAGAACAGAAGAUUGCAGUGACUGCUAAUUUUGGACAUAGCAGGAACUGAUAAAAUGUAUUUAAAAAAGUAAGUUAUUUUAAAAUUAAUUAAAUGCAUAAUACUGUCUAAUCAAAGAUAUGUGCCUGAGCAAAAAUAAAAUCAAUGUUACCUCAAAUCAACACAUUUUUUGGUUAUGCAUGCAUAUCAAUUUUACUAGGCACCUGAAGGUAUGUCAUGGAAGGGGUGAGGGCGAAAAACCAAGUUAACAAAGCUCGAGUGAUUGAUUCCUAUAAGUGUGGAUGAAGUAAAAAGGAGAUUGAUGAUUUCAUGGUUUAGAAUGUCCGAUAUUUUAGUUUAAGUAAGAUAAGAAUAUAAGAUUACGAUGGAAUUCUACAUACUUAAAUAUAAAAUUGCUAUCAUGAGAUUAUUCUGAUUUCAUGUGUUUGAUCAUGUGAGUGAUGUUUGUUUAACUAUAUCUGUACCUUGUAUUCCUUCACUUUGAUAAAUCUUAAAUUCAUUGAUUUUUAUAUCUUGUGUACCCUGUUUUAAAAUGAUGACCAGUAACACAGAACAUUCUUUGUGGGUUAGACUCAUAUGACAAGAGUCUCCAAAAUAUUGGGUAAAUAUCCAAGAGGGAGCUUUGGAAUUUGAUUAAUGUAUCAAGUGAAUGUGGUUAUUCGACAUUCACAUCGAAUCAAUUCAAGUGGCCAUUGGUUUUCUACAUGACUAUGCAGAGAGAGAUAUCUAGGUGAACAUGGUCGUUAAGAAUUUGUCAUGAAAGAGGGUGUUACCAAAGUACUAUUCCAAGCUCAACUUUAGGUCGACAUAACCUAAAAAUGAAAAUAGAUACUGAUGUAGGGUCUGUUACCACAACAUAAAUAGGUAACGAUAUGUUUGAUGCUGACCGACAGGAUCAAAUUAAUAGAACUUUUAUAUAUCUCUUUCUAUGAAUUGAAGGUGUUAAACAACCUCCUCCAACUUGUACAUCCCAACAUGUGCAGAUUGCUAAUAUGAGUUCAAAGAACAUAUUAUGAGUCUGGCCUAUAAAUGUAUGCAGAUGAAGAUUGCAGUGUCUCAGUAACUUGGAACAUAUAGCAGAAUUGGUUAAAUCUGAAAAAUAGAAACUACUCUGUACUACCCAGGUUUAGAAAAAAGUGUGAGUAGUUACUUAAAAUAACAAAAUCAUGACAUGUUCAUGCCUCUUACAGUCACUUUCUGCAAUGAGAUGAUAAGCACUCUCCUUAGUCCUUUCAAGCCAUAUCCAAACCAAGGUAUGCCCCACAUUUCGACAUGAAGGGUGUCAUAAGCUCCAAUUUUAUUAAUGUAAGAUUUGAUCCAUCUCCCUUCAAAGUUACGAAACAAGCCGCCACAUCCUGCGAUCUCUCCACCUCCCUUGCAAGUACCAUUACUAUUAAGCUUUAUCCAUCCAACAGCAGGGUGAUUCUUCCAACCAAUAUAGAUAGUCUCCUUGGGUUGAAUAUUAUGAUGAAGCGAUUUCGUAGAACAGCUAUUGAUUCCUCCUAUGAAAUUGUGGAUUGUCCAAACAAGAUCAUUUAGCUUUUGAAAAAUUAUUUUCAAAAAUAGCUUUAUUCUGCCAUGUCCAAAGAAACCAACAAGUGGUCAUGAAAGUAGUCUGCCAGUUAGCAUCUAUAACUUGUUGAUGUUGUUAAAAGUCAAAUCAACAGAAAAGAAAUCAGUUAUAAGAUUAAAAGGGACAAGGAGGAUCCAAACCUACAUAGCAAACACACAAUCCCGCAACACAAGGAGAGUAGUUUCAACAUGUUGCCCAUAAUUGGUGCAUAAAGGAGAAAUUCACACUCCCCAUUUGCUCUUGCAAAAAUUGGUGAGGCGAUGCUCAUGAACAGCCAACCUGAUAAAAGUUUGAAUACGAAAGGGACCCUUACAACUAACAACAUCUUUCCAAUCACCAACUGUAGCUUAAAUAUCCCCGUUUAUAACUAAUAGGCACUCUGAAAGUAAACUGGCGAGUGUUACUCCCUCCCCAACCCAAGGUGUCAACGCCGUCUGCAUCAGAUGGGGCUGGUAAACAAAGCAUCUGAUUCGCAACAUUAUACCAACAGUUGAGACUUGGUCAAAAUGUGAGUGGGGGACUAGAAAGUAAAAAACAGGUGAACUUGAGUUAAGGUCAAGUUGAGACUUGGUGUCUUGUGUUUCAAAUAUAGAGAAUUAGAUCCUGCGACUGAUGAUUGAAUGUGUUACUUGCUUUAGUUGGUUAAUCGAUUUGGAUUGAAAGUAAAUAACAACAAUAACAACAACAAACAACAACAAGAAUGGCGACAACAACAACAACCACAACAAUAGCAAUAACAAUGAAGAAACAUUUAAGAGGAUGAAUUGCUAAGGUUUUGGAGUUGAAGAGAAUGGAGUUUGUUAGGAUGUGUUUUGCUAACAUUUUUAUUUUUAAUUUUUAAUUUUGCUGAGACUUGGUCAAAAUGUGAGUGGGGAACUAGGAAAUUAAAAAGGGCGUGAACUUGAGGGGUCAAAAUAGCUUAAAAAAAACUUUUGGAGAGCUAAAUCACAUAAUUGCAAAACUUAGGGGAUUAAAUCUUAAAAAACAAAGAUGGACAAACACACUCGUAGGUACAAUUGCGCUGUGUUCAUAUUGGAAUAUACAAUCACGACUCCAUUGUCUCCGGUGUUCUUCCAUGACGAUCUCAUCAGCGAGAUUUACUCCGUUCUUCCUGUCAAAACUAUUAUGCGAUUUAGGUGCGUUAGCAAGUCUUGCAACGUUUGUGGCAGUAACGAUGAAUACGAGAUGGAUUGUGGUGCAAUUCCCUACUCCAUACACAGUUUAAUUGAUAACCCGACAAUGACCCUUGAUGUCGAUCCUUACUACAUGGUUAAAGACAAAGAAUACUCCCGUAUACUUGGUUCGUGCAAUGGCUUGAUCUGUUUGGGAGGUGAUUAUUUAAACCAUUUUAUUAAAGCUUGAUUAUCAUUAACCUGUUGAAUAAUUUAAGCAUUGUUGACGCAUUACAUAAUAUAAUCCUUUCUUGGUAAGCGACUGUGUAACAACCACCAAACAAACAAAGAAGCCUUCCAAGGGGCCGUUUGUUCCAAACUAUAUCAUAGAUGUCGGAACGACCAACUUGCUCCACAAAUGACAACAUAUGAUAUAUACUGCUUCCUGUGUAACCUUUGCCCGAAUCUAGAUUCCAAUACAUUUGUCUUCCACACCAUCCGAAAAAAAUUGUUAUACAAUCAUUUGUCUUCAUAUACGACAAUUGUUGUGUAGGAACUUGAGACACCACGUAUCUUGUUUAUAUGGUAUGAAUACAUGGACUUGAACAAUAAUGAUCAAAGGAGGGGUCAAAAAGAAUUACGUUACACAGGGUCACAAAAAUAUGGGUGGAUGAAAAAGUCACAAAUUCUAGUAAAAAAGAAGUGAAAAUUCAUUUUGGUCUUUCACAAUUUUAAUCAUUCCAAUUUAGUCUCUAAGAAAAAAAAAUUCAAAGUAAUUCUUACAUUUUUCAUACCGGCAAAAAAAGUAGUCUCUAACUCAAAACAACAGAGGUCCUUAAAAAUAUACUAAUUGUUUCUUUUAUUAUCGUUAAAAGAAAUCCGUCUUUCUAAACAUUUUAUUUUUGGCCCUUGUUAUAAUUUAGUCCUUGCAACAUAUAUUUAUAUUGGAAUAGGUCCAUGUAAUAUGUAAAAUAUUUUAUUUAAAUCUCUCUAGUAUGAGUGAGCCAAAUGACUAAAUUAAUAAUUAUUACACAUAUUACAAGAGCUAAUACUUAUUUGAACUAGUUUUAUUAAAUAACUGAUUUUGUUAAAAACACCAAACAUAGAGUAAAAAAAAGGUUAAAUAAGUUUUUGAUCCUUAAAAGAAUUUCAAAUUUUGGUUUAGUUCCUCUACAAUUUUAUUUCAAUUUUGGCCGUCUAAAUAUUUUCCACCACCAUUUUUUGUCUCUACUUUAGUGAGGUCAUGUGUACCCUUCAAAUGUUUUUUAAAAAUGUUUACAAUAUUAUAAAAAUCUCUAAAAAAAAAAAAAAAAAAAAACAAUUUUGUUUGUGAUACAUGAAUUAAAUGUGAUUUUCAUGUCUCAACAACAUAAAUCUUCCAUUACAAGUACAACAGCGUUUUUUUUUUUUUUGACGGAAAGUACAACAGCGUUGUUUCCUAUUGUAAUUGGAAUUGCGACUAUGAAUAUGCAAUCAGCUACCUUGCCGAAGUUCUUCCACAAUGAUCUCAUCGGAGAGAUUUUCUCCGCUCUUCCCUCGAAAUCUGUUCUUCGAUUCAGGUGCGUUAGCAAGUCUUGUGACACUCUCAUUUCUGAUUCAACCUUUGUGAAAUUGCAUCUCAAGAAAUCAAAAGCACGAGAUCCCCUCUUCACACUAAUCUCUCAGCACUUCACACAUAUCCCAGGCGAAUCCCCUUAUGGCAGUGAUGAUGAAACUGAGAUGGAUUACACUGUUGUUCCAUACUCCAUAAAUAGUUUAAUCGAGAACACAUCUUUCAACCUUACAGUUGAUCCUUACUAUGAAUUGAAGAACAAAGGAUGCUCUCGUAUAGUUGGUACCUGCAAUGGUUUGAUCUGUUUGGCUGCCGAUUCUUACACCCAUGAAUAUACACAGUACUGCUUCUGUUUAUGGAACCCAUCCACUAAGAAAAUAUCUCAUAAAUUUGGAAAUUUUAGUGAGUUUAACUUUCCCAGAUCUGCUGAUUUUGGUUUCGCGUUUGGUUGUGAUGAUUCAACGGACAUUUAUAAAGUGGUAGCGUUCCGUUACCUUCGUGAUCAAUUGAAAAGCGAGGUGAGAGUUCUCAAUCUUGGUGAUGAUGUUUGGAGAAAUAUUGAAAGUUUUCCUUUAACUCCUCUUUGUUUGAGCCAUGGUGACAAUCAUGUGUAUUUGAGUGGCACUAUUAAUUGGUUGGCUAUCCAUGACGAAUAUUGGUAUAAUGUUAGCAAUGUUAAGGAUAUUACUGUUGACCAAUUUGUUAUUGUUUCACUUGAUUUGGGGACUGAGACAUACAAUCAAUAUCGACUGCCUCCGAGUUUUGAUGAGGUGCCACCUGCACGACCAAUUGUUGGUGUGUUGGAGGACUGCCUUUGCUUUUGUUAUUGUUACAAGGAAACUGAUUUUAUUGUUUGGCAAAUGAAGAAAUUUGGGGUUGAAGAUUCUUGGACUCAAUUCCUUAGAAUUAGUUACCAUAGUCUUCAAAUUGAUUAUGACUAUAGUUUCGAAUAUACAAAGUAUAAAUUUCAAUUGGUGCCAUUGCUUCUUUCUGAGGAUGGCGAUACAUUGAUAAUGAAAUGCAGUCAAGAACACCAAGCAAUUCUCUAUAAUCGGAGAUGUAAUACAGUAGAGCGAACAAACAUUACUACAAGUAGAAGAACUAUUACUGAUGAUAGAUCUGGAGAUCAUGUAAACUGGGAAUGGAUCAAGAAUUAUGUUGAAAGCUUAGUUUCAAUUUUUUGAAAGUAAGUUCCUCUCCCAUGAUUUACAUGUUUAAAUUAAUUUUAAUGUUUAUAUGUUGUUUUCAAAAUAUAUAAUAGAUUUUGUGAAUAUUCAUUUUUAUGAUGGCUUGGAUUGAUUUUUAUAUGUUGUUUUCAUAAUAUAUAAUAGAUUGUAUAAAUUAGUUUUAAUCUGAACGAUGCCCCUUAAAGUUAUCAUGAUAUGACACCGAACUGGUAGAUGCACUGUUGAUUUUGUUUACACCCUUUCAAGUUCAUUUAUGCUGAUUUUAUUUGAAGUAUCGAUGGAUAUAUAUCUACUUGUUCAUGUUUCACCUGCCUUUAUGUGGAAGAGUGUCUGAUGAGUUAUUUGAUUGUUUAUUAUUGUGUUGCAAUUGCUUUAGGAUCUUAUGACAAAAUUUCCAUUAUGAAUUUUUAAUACAUCUCUAAAAUUUUAUACACACACUUUGGCUAUUUUAUUAGCUUCUUGGAUUGACGGAGGAAGAAAUCAUCCAGAAGCACUUCAAAUGUUUUGAGGAAUGAACUUAGGUCAAACUCAAAGAUGAUGUUGGAGGAUAGCAAGAAGAUGAUUUAUAAAAGCUGAAAGAAAACUACAUAAGCAAGAUUAAUUGUUCUGUGUUUCACUACAUGCGAAAGACAUACUGUGUAUGUGAAUUGGGAUUAGUUUAAUGUAGGAAAUUAAUUUCUUUAGACAAUUUCUUGAGAGAAUUCUUACGCAAAAGUUAUUCUGCAAAACUGAUUAGCACUUUCAAGAUAUAUUUUGACUUUUGUUGCUCCUGUGUUAUAUGCUAUGACCCUCAUUUCUUGCAACUGAUCUUAGAAUUUCAACCUGCAGUUUUCAUGAAUAUAAGAUUUGAAUGAUCAAUGUUAUUCUAAGUAUUCCCCUCUGAUAAGAAGAUGGGGAGAAGUAGGUUGUAGCACCAAACCAUUUAGGCAUGAAAAAUAUAGGUGAAUAGCCAGUACGAAUUUGUCAUGAAAGUGGGUGAUAUACUAAGGUAUUUUUCCAAGUCCAACUUUCCAUUGACAUAACAUACCUUUAAGUACUCUUCCCAGCCUAUAUGUUUCUCACGCGCCCUAUUAUUUUUUCUCUAAAAAUACCCCUAGUUCGGAUUAUAUAAUCCGAACUAGAUUGCCAUGAAUAUUUGGAUUAUAUAAUCCAAAAUUUGCUAUGUCCAAACUUUUAAAUAGACUUUGGUUUAUUUAUAUUAUUUUGAUGCCAAAAACAUAAAAUAAAUGCAAAUACAAACAAAAUUAAAAGGACAAAAUGAUACCAAAAAUCUCAUUUUACUAUUAUAUCAAUACAUUUACAAUAAAAUAAAGCUUAAGCUUAUUACAUAAAAUAUUUAAACCUAAUGCUAGUUUAUUAAAAACCCUAAGGUUUGCAGGUGGGGAGGGUAAGGUUUGUUUCCUCUCAAGGGCGAAAAAGACUUUGAUGGUCAACCUUGCAUGCAGACACACCAACCUGACACCCAGACAAACCGUGUUUCGUUGCAGCGUGGCACCAUCACCAUUGACUGUUCAUGCAAUCCCUAAAUUUCCAAAGUAGUCUCUUUUUAUGAAAGAACAAUGAUGAAAACAUUGUGAUAGAAGGAGAGGGUGUGAGAUAAUGGUGUGAGAAAUGGUGAAGGUUUGAAAAGUAUUUAUAAAGGAAAUUUGUGAAGUUUGCGUUGCAUAGAGUGUAACUACUCAUAAUGAUUAGUUAAAAAAACGUGUUCAAAGGGUUUUACCAGCUAUUUAAAUAUUUGUGAAGCUAGAUUGUUUAUCACCGGAAUCUGGAAAAGCUUGAGUGAGUGAUUCCUACUUUAUAUUUAUUGAUUUUUAUACCUUGUGUUUCUGUUUUAAAAUGACGACAGUAACUACAUUCAUUUUGGGUUAGAUAUCUAAGUGAAUAAAGCAUUGCCAUAUAUUUCUAGUGGCUAUUGUUCUUCAGUAUUAAAACAAAAGUUUUCCCAUAAGCUUGUAAAUGAAGGCAAUUGAAGAAUGAAAGGAGAUAUAAUAGUACAACUUUCAAACCAGUGAAUUUUUUUGAAUGGAACAUUUUCCUAUCGUUUCAUAUGCCAAAAAUAGACUAUGUAUAAAUAAUGAACUGAGGUGGUUCAGUAUAACUUGAAUUUUCCCCCAAAAAGAGCAAAAUACUCAUCAAGUAAUGACCAAAAAUAGAAAUGAAAGUAUAUUAGGUAAUUGAAUCUUACUUUGGGAUCUCCCACCCACCGUCCUUCUCGGGCUCCCUCUGGAAUUCCAGUAUUACUCUGUUCGGAUAAUACAAUUCGAAGUGAGUUUUGGUAUUUUCGGAUUAAAUAAUAUAAAGACACCCAAACUCAAGGAAACAACAAAAAAUGCAUGUGUACCUAAGAUUUAAAGAUAUUCAUAAUCUACAAGAUUUAACCAACAUAAACAUAUAUAACUAUAUAAAAAUCAUAUAUCUCUCUCUAUAUAAUGUGUGUUUAGUUCCAGAAUUAUAUAUAAUAUGUUUUUAGUUCCCUAAUGAUAUACAUUUGAACUAAUAUUUUUAUAAAAAAAAAAAAAAAAAAACAUUUUCAUAGUCCUUAAAAUAGGUACUAUAAAAUGAAAAUAGGGGCUAAAAGUUCAUAAUUUUGUAGGGACUUUAAACAUAUUUUACCAAAAAAAUUAUGGUUAAAUAUGUUUUUGGUCUCUACAAAAUUGUAAUUUUCUAAGUUUCAUUCUUAUUUAAUUUUAAUAGUUGUUUUAGUCUCUAUAAAACUUUUUGCACGUAGUGUUAGCUCUGCUCAAAUAAAAUUUAUGCAGUAAUCUUUAAAAUUUUAAAUUUUUGAGUGAUUUUUCAUAGACAUAUUUGGUAGAUUAUAUUCAUUUACUAAAAUUUAAAACUUUUAACAUGAGGCAAAUUAACUAGGAAUCUUUUAAACGUCAAAAAGUUAAGAUUAAAGUAACAAAAAUUUAGAACUAAAAAUUAAAUAUAGAGCUUACUUUUCGUGGAGAAACUCUUUUUAUAAUGUUUGUUGAAAAAAAAUAUCAUUCGAACACUUAAGAAUUCAAGGAUAAUUUGAGUUUAAUAAAGACUAAAAUUGUGUGUAUAAAAAAAAUAAGGAGUACAAAAUCUAUUAAAAUUAAGUAAAGACGAUCUCAUUUUUGAUUUGUUUGUUUGGAAAUGAUUUAAAUUUAACUGAUAACUAUCUAGAGUACUAUCACCGUUUAUGGAACCCAGCCACCAGGACAACAUCUUCAAAAUUUGGGCUUUUGGGUGACUUUUACGAAAGUUUCUAUUGUCAUGAAUUUUGCAACUUCAAAUUUGGUUUUGAUAAUUCAAACAAAACUUACAAGGUGGGGCAUUCCGUUACAAUCCAGUUCAAUUGAGAAGCAAUGUGAAAAUUCUCAGUUAAUGUUUGGAGAGAUAUUGAAAGUUUUCCAGUUGUUCCUCUUCAUCUGGACUCCAUUUACAGGGACCAUUUUAGUGAAGAAUGUGGCACUCUUAAUUGGUUAACUAUUCACAAUAACAUCGGUUACAAUUGCAAAGAUAUCACAGUUGGGCAAUUUGUUAUUGUUUCACUUGAUUUGGAGACGGAGACAUAGAAGCAGUACAUGUUGCCUCCUGGGUUUGAUGAAGUGCCGUCUGUGGAGCCAACAUUUGGUGUGCUAGGGGGCUGCCUUUGUUUUUCUUAUUUUUCCAAGGAAACUGAUUUUGUUAUAUGGCAGAUGAAGAGUCUUGGACUCAAUUUUUAAAAUUUAAUUGCAAAAAUCCUAGCGAAGAAGGGUUUAUUGAGGAUGACGCAAUAAAUUAUAAUCCAGCGGUACCAUUGCUUCUUGCUGAGGAUGGCCGUGUGUUGUUCAAGCUUACAAUCAUGAAAGAUAAAUAUGCAGUUCUAUAUAAUUGGAGAGAUGAUAAGGAAGAGAAAAUAGAAUUUACUGCAAGUAAACCUAAUAGCAACAACAAUAUAGCUAGAGAAGAUGUACGCUGGUGGUGGGCCAUGGAUUACGUUUUUAUGAUUGCUUAAGUUAAUUGUAUUUUUGAAUGACUAUGACACUAUCUAUUGGUUAUUGUUACUGACUUGAUAAUCUCUUGGUUUUAAUGAAUUUAUUAUUGUUUUUUAUUAUCAUCUAUAUCAACUAUAAGUAAGUUAGGAAAUUCAAUUGUUUGAGCUACAUAGAUCUAUGUAGUUAGGAUAUGUAGCAUAAAUUUGAUUGCUCCAUUGUACUCUUUCAUAAUGCUAGGUUGUUAUAUAAAAACCUUCAAACUACAUGAUCAUAUUUUGAGCUACCAUAUGUCACCAAUUGUAUAUGAUCAAUGAAACAAAGAAUUAUUUGUUUUAAUGUAUUAUAAAAUAGAAAAUGCAUUCAAGCAUUUGGUAUGAUACAUGAACACAGUUCUAGGGAAAGAUAAAUGGAACUCCAUUCCCCUUGAAGUUUUAAGAUAUAGGUACUAAACUACUAUGAGGAUUUAACGCUCACCAUUUUUUAUCUCUCAUAUAUGUUUGUUUUUCAUCCGAAACCUUCACCUCUGAGGUAGGUUAUUGUUUAACAACUCUUUUACAUUUGAUUUCACUGUUUUAUGGUUUUAGGUUAUUGUCCAAAUUGAAAAUUGCAUCAAUUCCAAAGGCAUAAAAGGACUGCAGAGAGCUGAUACAUCAACCGGGGGGGUGCCCCUGUUACUCAUAUCAGAAGGAAGCUAAACUAUGAUCUCACAACCUUGUGGACUUGAGUUGUCAUUUCUACAACAUAAGUCACUUGUUUAUGACAAUAUAUUCAAGAACUCUCUCUAUCCAAGUGCACUUUUUCUGUAUUUAAUUUUCCCCUUCUUUUGGUUCUUGGCAUAUUUCCAAAAGUUUCAACCAGUUUAGCAUUUCUUUUCAGCCAUUUUGUCAGCGUCAAUUUCUAUGACAAUUUCAAAACUAUGUCAGUGUUUAUGCUUUUUAGGGUAUGUUUGACUAUGUUAUCCAAUUUAUAAUCUAUACUAUGAACCAUGUUAUUAAAGCUUGACUGUAAUGAAUCUAUCCAAUUAUUAACCUAUGUUGAUGCAUUACACAAUGUCACAUGAAAAGGAGAUAAAAUUGUGAUAAAAUAUGAAAGAGCUAUUAUAAGGGAUAUAAAAUAAAAUGUGUGUGCAAUAAGAUCGGUUUCACCAAUUGUAUAUUACUGGAAAAAUGAACUUUCUGUUUUUAAUGCAUAGACCAAAUUCUAUUGAAUGAAAAUUGCAUUCAAACGCCUGGUGUGAGACAUGAACUUCAUUCCCCUUGACCAAAUUCUACUAAUGAAGCAGCUCAACCUUAACAUCAAAAUCUGGAAGAUAUUCCUCUCAUAGAUGCUGCCCACAAUUGUCUUCAAGUCCACUUCAAAAUCAAUAUUCUGUAAGUGGAGGUCUCUCACCCAUUGCAUAUAUGUUAACAAACCCAAAGCUUCCCCUAUGUCGACGUCUAAUAUUGUGAAAAUCCAUUUCGUUCUAACUAAAACAAAACCUUCUUUGUCAUCUCCUAUGAAAAUAUUGAUACUCACUAUGUUUAGAGCAUUUGAAAAGGAUGCAUAUCCACGUUGCAUUUGAAACGUCCUGCAGGAGGUUUCAUCCAACGCCUGCGACCGGUGAUGACAGGGGAUUUUUUACUCCUAAAAUGAAUUUCACUCCCUCUUGAAUAUUGAUUAUUUGGUUUCCCAUUCAAAUGUUAUACACAUCAGUAGUAUUGGACAGAUUUUUUAUGCCUGCUGGUGAUGGAUAGGAGAAAGAUAAACCAUCUUUUUUUCUUCAAGCAAACAAUAUUUUUGUUAACUUCAAAACUUUGUAACAGAUAAUGAGUGUAAUUGUGUGGGUUUAUUCUGGUGCCAAACAAUACCAUUGGCCCCUUGAACAACCUUUUCCUAAAGGUUGACGUCAGGAAACCGCUGCUGAAUUAUUUCCUUGUCCUCCCAAGUUGCAUUGUCAACUGGUCUAUCUUGUCACUGUAUCAAGACUUCUGGUCUGCUUGUAUCCUGGUACGUUAGUUGUCUGGUUUCCAGAACGUGAGUUGGUUGCAGAAUCACCCCUUCAAAUAGAAACUCUGUUGUCACGGUUUGGUGCCCUACUGCUCUCCUUAAUUGAGACAUGGAAAGCAGCGUGUAAUCUUUUCAGACAACGGAGUUUAAAUUUUAAAGCUACUGACUGCCCCAACUAGCUUAAGAAACCAUCAUUCAAAAGUCGUAAGAUUAGGUCAAUAUGAGUUUGUUCAAGUCAUGAUUAACUAUUCUUAUGGUAUUACCUUUUGUGGGAAAUUGUACUUUGUAUUUAGCUAUUCAUGGUGGUUACAUAGGAAUUUCAUAAUAUAUCUAAUGCUUGGUAUUGGUUAAGAAUUUAAAGAUUCAUUGGUGAAACUAUUUUACGAAUUUUUUCUUGGUUAAGAAUUUUACUCCUAUUUUGAUUUAUUACUGCAACUAUUUGGUUGUAAUCAUAUCUUCAUUUGACAGGAAAAGAAAUGGCAAGGGUUAUGCAAUAUGCUAACACGAGUUAUUUGAUGUGUAGCAUGUACGCAUAUGGAACUGGUAAUGUAGGACUGCAGAUAAAAAGAUCCACCGCCUUGGGGAUGCCGCGGUCACCGAAGAUAUUUCUAUGUUCCAACCAGUUUAGCUUCCCUUUCAAAGCCACUUUUGUGACCAUCUAUUUCUAUGAUAAUUUUAAAACUAUGUUGGUGUUUAUGCAUGUAAGGGUUUAUGAUUGAUUAUGUUACCCAAUUACUAAUCUAUUCUAUAAACCAUGCUAUUAAAGUUUGAUUGUCAUCAACCUAUCCAAUUAUUAACCUCUGUUGAUGCAUUAUUCAAUUUAUCGCAUGAUAAUCUUGCACUAUGCACAGAAAAUGAGAUAAAAUUAUGAUAAGAUUGCCUUUCAAAGAUAUAACUAAAAUUUCUCUUAUAUGGUUUCCUGUAAUGACUGCUAGUCUUUGUUUUAAGUAAAUGAUGUCAUGAUUUUUGUUCAGCCAAUUAUUAUUGAAAUAUGUCAUUUGAUUUUUUUAGUUGAUACUUUCCUGUACUCUUUGCAUAUAGUGUGAAUGUGAAAAAUAGUGUCUGCAAUUUAUGUGACAUUGAAAAAGACAAAUUAUUAUAACAUAAAUUGAAAAUCCAUAUACGCACAAUUUUCUACGUAUGUAAACUUAUUACGAAAUAGACAAAUUAUUUCGAGUGUAAGCAUGGGUAGUGACCAAUGUUAUCAAAAUUGAUAUUUUGUGUAAGACCGGGAAGGGAUAAAAUGACUGUAACACGUAAAAUCGCAACUAGAAUAAUAAGAUUCUACUGAAGUAAUUACCAUGGACGAGGAGAGCAUAGCAAGAUUGCAACUCGUAAAAUCGUAACUAAGAUCAUAAGAUCCUACCGGCUACCACAACCAAAAAUAAUACUAGUACGUAUGUAGUUAUUUAAUAGCGCUAUAGCGGAGUAGAAGACAUUAGACGCGCUGGUAAUGGCCAUUGAAGGGAAGAUCUAAAUCGUGUUUAGGUUCUUCUCUUUUUACUUCCUCUAUUCUCUGUUCAAUUUAUGGCUCUGUUUUUCUAUGCUCACUCAUCUCUCUUCUCUUUUUGUUAUGUUUUACUAUUUUUUCUUUCAGAUUUAUGUAUUCGUUUUUCCUUUCUUUUAGGUUCUUUUCAUGGCUUUGUUAUGUUUUUCCUCUUAUUGUUAAGUUCUCUAUUCUAUGUUCAGUUUUACUAUAUUUUUCCUAUCUGUUCACGUGUUCUUUCUUUCUCUAUUCUAUUUUGUUUAAUUUCACCUCUCAUAUCUGUUCUACUCUGCUCUUAUAUUUGCACCCAUGGCAAAUUCAUCUGAAACACAAUCGAACUUUGCAUCUGUUUCUGUUCUUAUGUUUCUGCUUAAAAGCAUAAACCAGCGGGUGAUAAUAUUGACCUUUCCCUGGAAGUAUAACCAUUGGAAGGACUUGAAUAAUAAGAAAAAAAGUAUAUUGUGAUUUACGUAAUGCCCCAGUACCGGAGGAAUUAGGAGAGCAAGAAGAAAUCAAUUGCGAAUAAGGGGAGAUGUGACUCCAUGUUGGCACACACGACCAGAUGUCAAGGCAUUGUUGCAGGUUGAUUCAAAUGAGAAACAAAGGAGAGCACAAGGAGUUGAAGAGCUCCAAGCUCAAUUAGAUGAAAUUUUUUCACAAUGAUAUUUAGAAUAAAAAGGAAAAUUCAAAUUGGAAAAAACCCAGUUGAGGCCUCUUUACCGGCUGCCAAGGAGAAAGGUCCCUUGGAACUAAUGCUCAUGAACAAAUUGGAACAAACUAUGUAAAAAAACAUGAGGCAAACAAAGAUUAUGGUGCUAACAAAAAAGCAAGGGCUAGAUGUAUAUAGUAUAUUGCUCGAUUCUUUUAUACGAAUGGAAUUGCUUUUAAUGUUACAAGAUCAAAACAUUUAAAGUUGAUGUUGGAAGUUGUUGGAAUAUAUGGUUGUCAUAUGAAACUUCCAAGCUACUAUGAAAAACAAUACUCAAAAAAAUACUCCAUUCGGCCAAAUCUGAGCCAAAAAAAUACGUUUCUGUUAUAUUUUCUGCUGGCGAAUUCGGGUCCCGAAUUCCUCGAUUCGGCCACCAAUUUUUGUCGUACCAACAGGCUGAAAAACAAUACUCAAAUUUGGGCUCCGGACAGCACCAUUCGGGCCCCGAUUUUGAUAGAUUCAAAUCUCCAAUUUUGAGUCACUUUCACAACAUAAAUUGUUAAUGAGGAAUAAACCCCGCUUAUUUUGGACUCCAAGUGUUUCACAGACAAGGGGGGAUUAGUCUUCUAUGUUACAUUUAUAACCACACAUCUUCUUUGAACUUAAUGAGGAAGAAAACCAUCAAUGUUGAGUUGGUUAGGCAUGGAGUUACGAGGUUUGCUACCACAUUCCUUAUGUUGCAAAGGUUACCCAAACUAAAAUCCAAGCUUAGGUAGAUGUUUAUAUGUAAAGAUUUGUUGAAUUUCAUGUGUUAAGGAUCAUAAAGAAAGAAGAAAAUCGUAUGUGCAAUUAUGCCAUCAUUUUGAAAUGAUGUAUUCUAGACUCUUGGGGUCAUGAGACCUCUUCUAAUGUGUGAAAUAUAUGCAGCAAUGGAGGUUGCCAACGAUUCAAUAAAAAAAAAAUUAAUAAAUUUUAAUUUAGACCAGUUUAUAGAUGUGAUUGUGAUUAGAAUCAUUGAAUAAAAUAUGGGAGUGCCAUGUGUUGUUAAUUGAUAUUUGAGUUUUUCAUUGAACGACGGUGUAAACUUUAUUAUGAGUUGCAUUGCUUCUUUAAACUCAUAUAUCAAAACUGCAGUAGGUGAGCGAAUCAAUUAUCAGUAAAUACUCCCUCCAUUCCUUUUCUUUUGAUGUUUUAGCUUUUGACACAAGUUUUAAGGAGUAAUUAAAGUAUAUAAACACUUGUGUGUUUUUUACUUAAAUGUCCUUAUUUAUCAUUAAAUUCACAUGUGAUAAACCAAAAGUCACAACUACUUUAAUAGUUUAUUGUGUUUUCCAUCAAGGAUAAACUUGAGAAAACAAUCAUAAAUUCACUAAAACAUCAAAAAUUUUGGAAUAUAGUUGAAGUUUUAAAACAUCAAAAGAAAAGGAAUGGAGGGAGUAGUAAUUAACGGUACUUGCGGGUAUUCUCGUCAGUUUAAGGUGUGUGAAAGCAAACAAUGGUGGUAUUCUCGGCAAUUUUUUUUAGGGACUCUCAUAUGACGUUGAUCAAGGAUGGCAAACAAAUCUACACCCGCAGAUAUCCGUGGAUAAAAUCUGUCACAGACACGGGAUGGAUACCUUAAUAGGUACAUGGAUAAAAUAAAUGGGGAUAUACAUGGAUAAAAUAAAUGGAGAAGUUUUACCUUGUACCCCUACAUCAAUACCCCCACCCCUGCAUUUUACUUGAAUUGCCAACAUUACCCUUCAAUAUAAAGUUCAAACACCAAAUUAUUUUAUUUUUCUCCAAAAUUUGUCUGUUUACCCUACGUGAAAACUUACGGAAAAACACUUUCUAAGUUUUCCGGGUAGGACAAAGCAUCAAUUCAUCGCUCAUCUCCAAAAUCUCAUCUUGUCAAGAAUCUCGUCCUCUAGCUCAAUGUCUUCUUGUCCAUAAUCAUCAAUUUUUUGCGAUAGCUAGUUUUAAGGAAUUAAUUUUUACGUUUGUGUAACAAAUCUGGAUUAUCGGAUUCGAUUCUGGAUUAAUUUCGGAUGAGACGACGAUAGUGAGCUUUCCAAAAUCAUUUAUGAGGUUACAUUUGUCUUUGUGUUUGCACAUUGAACAUGUAUCUGGAUUUGAUUAUUAAUUAUGUAGUCGAAGCUUUCCCAUUGGGAUACCGUGAAUUGGAAACUGUACCGUGAAUUUGAUUUUGUUAGUAAUGAUCAGUUAGUAACUCAAUUAAACUUUUCACGGAGUUGACUAAUAAAUGUUAUUGACCCAUGUUUUUCAUCGACCUUCUUCACCAUCCAUAUUCAAUUGGUACUAUUAACAAUGGUUACGGUAAUGAUUAUGGUGACCAAAUUUUAUUUGAUUUAAUAGUUGAUUCACAUUUGUUGUUAUAGGAAGAGUGGUUAUGAUGAUGAGCAAUUGAUAAAGGAACCCAUUGUUUUCUUUCAAAAACCUUUUCAACAAUUUAAUAGUCUAUUCACAUUCAUUUUUGUAUGAUUAUUCACAUUGUUGUUGUUAUAUGAACAAGGUUUUUCGGAAAACACGAAUCUGCACUACUAUCUGGAGGAUGAACUCAUGUUGGACAGAAAUUUAGAUAGUGAGGGUGAAAAAAAAGAAAAGAAAAAGUUCAAUAAAAAAGGGUAAUAUUGGAUUUUUUGUUAAUUUGUAAGGGUGAAAGUAUAGACACAGUGGUAUAGGGUAAAAGUUCCAAUAAAUGGAUAUUUCAGCUAUCCAUUAUUCAAUAGAUCCAGAUAGUUUUUUUUUUUUUUUUUUUUUUUAGGAAGUAGAUACAAAUAGUAUUCACAUCCACGUAUAUCUGCAUCCACUAUUAAACUAAGUAAAUUACGUAAAUAAUCUUACUAUUCUUUCACUUAAAGUCAUAUUACAACGUGGCGUUUCAAUUCUCUAAAAGAAACCAAUCUUUUAUUGAACCUUUUUUUUAAUCAAAGAACUUUGUUUUUGUUAAAGUGAUUGAUAUUUUUUUUAUUAGAAAUGAAAUUUAUGGAUAUAUUAUUAUUGUAAUGUAUGAAUAUUAUUAUAUUUUUGAAAAAGCAAAAAAUUGAAAUUGAUAAACUUUUGUUAUUAAAUUUAGGUAAUACUCCUCCGUCGUUUUUUUCAUAGAAGUAGUUUACAAAAAUCACGGGUAUUAAAAAAAAUUGGAGUAAUAAAGUUGUUUCAAAUGUAUGUGACUAUUACUAGAUUACCCUUAAUAAAUAUAUAUAUUUAAUGUUAACUUUUCAUAUACCAAAACAAAUUGGUAGUAUUAAUAAGGGGUAUAUUUGAAAAAAGAGUAAUCACUGCAUCUAGGAAUUUGUAUAUGAUUAUAUUUAGGGACAAAACUUUUUUGUAAACUAAGGGGGAUGUAUUAGAUUAGGAUUCUAUGAGAUUUUAAAAGACUUUUUAAUUAUGAAAAAGUCUUGUGGUAUUCAAUCAAGACUCUUUGUCAUUUUAAAACAGUCAUGAGGUAUUCAAUCAAGACUUUUCAUCACUUAAAAAAAGUCUUGUAGUAUUUAAAAUAAUUCAAAUUUCUUGAGAUUGUUUUUCUUUUAAAAGUUACUAUCUCUUUCUUCUCCUCUCUCCCUCCCCAUCCCUAUUCUCUCAUUUCUCUCUUCGUCUCUCUCUCUCUCUCUCUCUCUCUCUCUCUCUCUCUCUCUCUCAUCCCCCCUCUCUCUAUCUCAUAAAAAAAUAAAAAAUUGUAUUGAGAAUAUUCUGAUAGAGAGUAUGUCGUAAUCAAUGUUCCGCAAAUCGAGUGUUAACUCUCCGAGAUUACCGAGUUUACAUUUUUAAGUACAAAAAUCGUGUUAACUCUGAGGUAAACUCAGUUUCUGGUGAAAUCGAAAGGUUUAACGAGUUUGACUGAGUUAACACUCGGUAAACUCGUGUAAACUCGACCGAUUUAUAAUGGCUGCCACAAUAUUAUUUUUUGAAAGAUUUGUAAGUGCUGACAUAAUUUUAAAUAUGUACAAUUGAAUUUUGUGGAAUAACAUUUUUAACAAAUAAAAAAUAUCUGUUAGAGUGUUUUGUAGUCCCUUAAAAUCUUAUAAAAUCCAUAAAAUUCUUAAAAUUUGAAAAUCAAUAGUAAAAUAAUUUUUAUUGGUUUUAUUUUUCUUUAUUCAAACGCUAAAAUUUAUUUGUUCAUUAUUUCUAUCAUUCACGCUUGUAAGUUUGUUCUUUUUCCCCUAAAAUUCAUUGAAUCCUUUGAAAUUUUAAAAUCACAUAAAAUCUUUUGAAAUCUUUAAAAGUCAGUGUGAUAAAUUCUUUAAAAUCUUGAGUGUAUAAAGUCUUUUACAUAAAAAGUCUUUUAAAAUCUCACAAAAUCAAUACAAUCUCACACAAUCUUUUAAAAUCUUAAAGACUUUUUUUUAUUAAAAUAGUCUUUUAAAAUCCUAAUCCAAUACACCCCAUAAAAUCAUCUUUUAUCUAAAAUGUUAUCCAAGGAUAUUUGUAUAUACACGUAGAUAUCUCAAAAUCUGUGUAUAUUAACACUUAACGGAUGUCGAUAUGGAUAUGAGAGGGAAGAAUAUCAUAUUUUAUCCAACGAACGUGAAUAUCAUAUUAUCGGCAUCUAUGCAUAUCCAUUUACAUCAAAGUGCUGGGAUGGUCGUUAGCUUAUUUUGGAAAAAAAAAAAAAAACUCUCACGAGUGAUUCUGUUGUGACCGUAGUAUAGCUUAUUUUGGAAAAAACUCUCGCAAGUUGUUAUCUCACCUAUAUGAAGUAAAAAAGUGUUUAAUUGAAAAGUAGGUCAAGAGCUCCGUUCAGAACACAGUGACUGCAAGGAUGACAAGGAGACGUGGUAAAGGGUUGGAUUUUUCUCAUCCUCGACGCCAACACCCGACUGCAUCUAUCAUGAUUCCGACAAAGCUGGUGGUUCUCCCUGACGAUCUCAUCUUCAAGAUACUUUCCUUACUUCCGGUUAUAUCUCUUGUUCGAUUCACUUGUGUUAGCAAGUCUUGGAAAACCCUAAUCUUUGAUCCCACCUUCGUCAAAUUACACCUCAAUAGAUCCUCUUCAACGCGAAAUCCGCCAUGCACGCUAAUAACGCGUAACAGUUACUACAAAAUCCAUACCAUCGCAUAUACCGCCAAAGGAUCUCCCAGUGUUACAUCCUACGAAAAACAUGUGCUUGCUGUCGUUCCUUGCUCCAUGCAACGUUUAAUUGAAAACCCGUCGUUCACUCUUUUCAUCAAUCGUUGCUACCUAUUCAAAGACGAGGAAUGCAAUGAAUGCACUCGUAUGCUUGGUACCUGCAAUGGACUCAUUCUUCAUUUGACAACUGCUGUUUUUACCCAUCCUCCAUAUCUAGAGUACUGGUUUCGUUUAUCGAACCCAGCCACCAGGACAACAUCUCCAAAAUUUGGCCAUUUUCCCAGUUUUCCACUUCAAAUUUGUUUUAGUUUCAAGUUCAGGUUUGGUUAUGACAAUUCAACCGGCACUUAUAAGGUGGUGGCGUAUUGUUGCAAUCCACUUGAAAAGAGAAGCAUUGUCAGAAUUCUAACUGUGGGUAACUUUUGGAGAGAUAUUGAAAGUUUCCCUGCUGUCCCUCUUCAUAUAGACUAUGAUCAUGAUCGUUAUUGUCAUAAUGGUGUGUAUUUCAGUGACACUCUUAACUGGUUAGCUAUUCACAAUCACAAUGGCAUUGACUACGAUUUUAAGAAUCUUAGAGUUGAGCAAUUUGUUAUUGUUUCGCUUGAGCUGGGAACGGAGACUUACAAUCAAUACCUGCUGCCUCUGGGUUUUGAUGAGGUGCCCCCUACACAACCAACGGUUAGUGUCUUGGGUGGCUGUCUUUGUUUUUCUUAUUCUUCUGACAAGGAAAACGAAUUUGUUUUAUGGCAGAUGAAGAAAUUUGGGAUAGAAGAGUCUUGGAGUCAAUUACUUAGAUUAGUUUCCAAAAUCUUCAAUUACACUUAAAGCAUUAUUAUCCAAUGAUACCAAUACUUCUUUUUGAGGAAGAUCAUACAAUGAUACUUAAGAGCAUUCAAGAACACCAUCCACUUCUCUAUAAUUGGAGAGAUAAUAAAGUAGAGCUAAUACAAACUACUGCAAGUAGUACUUUUACUGGUGAUAGUAUUGACCGUGGUGGUAUAAGUUGGUACCCUCCCAAUUGUUACGUUGAAAGCUUGGUUUCACCUAUUUGAAAGUAAGUCCUCUCCCACAUUUUUCUUGUUUGAAUUUAUGUUAAUUUGUAUAUGUUGUCUUCAUAAUAAUAAAAUUGUGUGAAUAUUCUAUUUUAUGGUUACUAAUUACAUAGAUUGUAUUUUUUGAUGACUAUCUAUGUGACUUCUCUUAAGGAAUUUCAAUCUCUCUUGUUCACAUGUUUUCAAGAAAGAAUAUUUUUAUCUCCCUUAGGAUGGGUUUAGUCUUAUUUACAGAAAACAACUACUCCUAAUGAACAAAAUAACUAGCAACCAAGAAUUUGUUUGCAACCUUCCCUCUUUUCCCGUGAUAAACUUGCAUGACUUCAUCAUAUGAUGCGGGUUUAUGCUGGUGCCUAACAAUACCAUCCUCUCACAACCUUGUCUUAAAGGUUGAAGACGGAACUGUUGUUGAAUGGUUGCCUUGUUCUCCCAAGUUGCCUCAUUAACUGGUCUGUCUUGCCACUGUUUCAGGACAUGAGAUGAGGUAUGCUUGUAUCCUGAUGUGUUCUGUUCCCAAAAUGUGAGCUUGAUUGUAUUCUUUUUCAAAGAAUGGGCUUCGAAUUUAAAAGCUACCGCCCCAAUUGGUUUAAGAACCCAACGUUCAAAAGUCCAAAGAUUAGUUUAUUAUGAGUUUAUUCAAGUCACGAGUUGCUAUUAUUCUUGUGGUAUUGCCUCUUGUGGGAAAUUGUACUUUCUAUUUCGCUAUUCAUGAUAGAAUUUCAUAAUAUAUCUACGGCUUGGUCUUGGUUAAGGAUGUUAAGAUUCACUACUGAAACUAUUUUAUGAAUUCUUUCUUGGUUUAGAAUUACUCCUAUUUUGAUUUAUCUGGUGGUAAUCGUAUCAAGAUGGUGGCGUGAGUUAUUUUACAAGUAUGCUUAUGGAACCAGUAAUGUAGGACUGUAGAUAGCUGAUCAACUGACUUGGGGAUGCCGCUGUCACUCCUAUCAGAAGGAAGCUGAACUGUGAUGUACACCAAAAUUAUUUCCAUUAUGGACUCGAGUUUUGAUUUCUAGAAGAAGAAAAAAACAGAUUCAAGAACUUUCUCUGUUUUUGUGGACUUGGUCACCAAAAUUAUUUCCAUGUUUCAACCAGUUUUGCUCCCUUUUUUUUUUUUUUCCAUUUUUGUGAGCAUCUAUUUCUAUGACAAUUUCAAAACUAUGUUGGUGUUUAUGAAUUUAAGGGUUUAUGUUUGAUUAUGUUAUCCAAUUACUAAUCUAUACUAUAAACCAUGUUAUGAAAUCUUGAUCGUUAUUAACCUAUUCUAUUAUUAACCUCUAUUGAUGUAUUACUCAAUUUCUCAUUUGAAAAUCUGGCACUAUGCACAGAAAAUGAAAGAAAAUUAUGAUAAAAGAGGAAAGAGGGAAGGGCUAUUAUAUAGGGGAUUUAUGAUAAGAUGACAAUAAAAUACAAGGACAAGGACCAAUUUCAUCUUCACUCCGACAAAAUAUCAUCAACGUCCCUCAGCAACUGAUUAAUUUUAAUAAAAGAAAUAGAAACACAAAAUAAUAUUAAGCUCUAACCUACAAUUACAUUCUAAUCUUUUACAAACAAACAUUGAAAGAUCAAGGUGACACUAAGCUCGUCCUUUAUCACUAUAAUACAAACCCAAAAUCACUACAAAGACUUCGGAGGACAAACUCUAUCAUGUUAGAAGUUUUCAAGCCAACGUGUAACUCUACCAUGUUUUAAUAUCUCAUGUUCGAUUCUGUUUGCUGUCAAAUUCAGUGGGCUAGUUUAUCUUCUUCAAAAAUGGGUUGGAUCUUGUAUUGAAAAUUUAUCAGUAAUACGCAAUUUAAUUUCUCCACUCUCAUUGGCAUAUCCAAUUUCAUCCCUUGUUCAAAGAAUGCAUUCAGCAAGCUUCUUAAAUUCAAUUUGUUGAGUUUGAUUGGUUGAAGAACGUAGACUCAUGUUUAUUGAAAGAGUCAACACUUUGCAAUGAUUGUACAAAUUGGAUGAAUUGAUGGCAACCGCUGGUAUGUUUUGUCAACAUGCUUUCCUAAUCACGAACAAAAAAUUCUAAAAUCGCCGCCCAAAACUCUUGAUAUACCACCGAAACAUUUUUCCAUAUUUUCAACACCAUCGUAAGAAAUUACAUUUGCAUUUUCGAUCAAAAGCCUAAAAUCUAUAACGAUUCAUCAUUGAUGCUUCGUGUCAAAUACUUAAUUUGGUUUUUAAGAAGAAAGUAACUUUUUACUUUUUUUUUCUUGUUUUCAAAUCCACAUAUCAAUGCUUCAUUGAUUUGCAAUGAAAUAUUGAAGGAUGAACCGGUUGUACAAACAGCUGAAAGUAUCACACUAGUAGUAUAUAAAAAGAGCAGAAAGAAUCAAGUAAUGACAAAAAAAUAGAGAUGUGAGUAAAAAGUAUUGUAAAUAAUUGAAUCUUAUUUGGUAUCUCCUAUCCACAUUUCUUCUUGCGAACCCAAAAAAUUCCAGUUUUAUCCUGUUCGGUAUACUUCCUCCAAUCUCCAUUAUAAGAGAAAGUUUAAUUUAUAAAUUCAUUCAAUAACCGAUAAGGUGCUAACACAACAGCAAAACAGUCCCAGCAGCACCCACGGCUAGCAGCAAGAGCUGCUAACAGCAGCAGACUCGUCCGAUCCAACCCCGGCAAAAUAUCGAUACUCUAAUAGUCCUCAAUGAUAUAUAAUGUGUUUAGUUCCCUAAUGAUAUACAUUUGGACUAAUCUUCUUAAAAAAUAUCGAUACUCUAAUAGUCCUCAAAAUAGUUACUAUAAAAUGUAAAUAGGGGCUAAAAUUGAAUAAUUUUCUUUUGAGGGAUUAAACUUGAAAAUUCAUGAUUCUGUUGGGACUCUACAAAUUUUACCCGAAAAGAAUUAUCGUUAAAUAUGUUUUCGGUCCCUAUAAAAUUGUUAUCUUCUAAUUUUAAUAACUUUUUUGGUUUUUAUAAAACAUUUUGCACGUAGUUAAUUGAGAACCCGACGUUCCCCCUUUCCGUUAAACCCAACUAUUAUAUGAGAGACAAAGAAUCUUGAGGUAUAGUUGGCACCUGAAAUGGAAUGAUAUGUUUGUUUGGAGAAAAUUUUAACUCCACCGAUGAAUAUCUAGAGUACUAUCUCCGUUUAUGGAACCCAGCCACCAGGACAACAUCUCAAAAAUUUGGCCAUUUGGGCGACUUUUACAAAACUUUCUAUUGUCAUGGAUUUUACAAAUUCAAAUUUGGUUUUGACAAUUCAAACAGAACUUAUAAGGUGGUGGCAUACCGUUACAAUCCAGUUCGAUUGAGAAGCAAUGUGAAAAUUCUCAGUUUUGGUGAUAAUGUUUGGAGAGAUAUUGAAAGUUUCCCAGUUGUUCCUCUUCAUUCGGACUCCAUUUACGGGGACCAUUUUAGUGAAGAAUGUGUAUAUUUGAGUGGCACUCUUAAUUGGUUAGCUAUUCACAAUAACAUCGGUUACAUUUGCAAAGAUAUCACAGUUGGGCAAUUUGUUAUUGUUUCACUUGAUUUGGAGACGGAGACAUAGAAGCAGUACAUGUUGCCUCCUGGGUUUGAUGAAGUGCCGUCUGUGGAGCCAACAUUUGGUGUGUUGGGGGGCUGCCUUUGUUUUUCUUGUUUUUACAAUAAUACCAAUUUUGAUUUUGUUAUAUGGCAGAUGAAGAAAUUUGGGGUUGAAGAGUCCUGGACUCAAUUUUUAAAAAUUAGUUGCCAAAAUCCUAGUGACAAAGGGUUUAUUGAGGAUGACGGAAUGCAUUAUUGUCGAGUGGUACUGUUGCUUCUUGCUGAGGAUGGUGAUACGUUGAUGCUUAAGAGCAAGGGAGAUAAAGAUGCAGUUCUAUAUUAUUGGAAAGAUAAUAGAAAAGAGCAAAUAAAAUUUACUGCAAGUAGAUUUAUUACCAACAAUAUAACUAGAGAAGAAGUAUGCGGGUUUUGGGCCAUGGAUUACACUGAAAGCUUAGUUUCAAUUUCUUGAAAGUUGCUUUUCUAGGGUUUACUUGAUUGAAUUUAUGUUCGUUUGGAUAUGUUGUUUUCAUUAUAAGUUAUUGAGAGAUUAUUCCUUUUUAUGAUUGCUUAUGUUAAUUGUAUUUUUGAAUGACUAUGAGACUAUCUAUUGGCUAUUGUUACUGGCUUGACAAUAUCUUGGUUCUAAAUGAAUUUAGUAUUGUUUUUAUAUUAUCAUCAAUAUCAACUAGAAGAUAGUUAGGAAAUUCAAUAGCUUGAACUACAAUAUAGAUCAAUGUAGUUAGGACAUUUAGCUUAAAUUUGAUUGCUUUACUCUUUCAUAAUGCUAGAUUGUUAUAUAAAAACAUUGAAACUACAGGAUCAUAUUUUGAGCUACAAUAUGUCACCAGAGUUAUCUAUUUUAACGCAUUCUAAAUUUUAUUAUAAAAUAGAAACUGCAUUCAAGCAUUUGGUAUGACACAUGAACACAGUUCUAGGUGAAGAUAAAUGGAACUCCAUUCCCCUUGAAGUUUUAAGAUACAGGGACUAAUCUGCUCUGAGGAUUUAAUGCUCGCCAUUUUUCUCUCAUAUAUGUUACUUUUUCAUCUGAAACCUUAUCCUUUGAGGUUGGUUAUUGUUUAACAACUCUUUUACAUUUGGUUUUAUUGUUUUAUGUGGUUGUCCAAAUAGAAAAUGCAUCAAUUCAAAAGGCAUAAAAAGACUGCAGAGAGCUGAUGCAUCAACUCGGGGAUGCCACUGUUACUCAUAUCAGAAGGAAACUGAACUCUGAUGUCACAACCUUGUGGACUUGAGUUGUCGUUUCUACAAAAAAAAAAAUAUUCAAGAACUCUCUCUAUCCAAGUGCACUUUUUCUGUAUUUAAUUUUCCCCUUCUUUUGGUUCUAGGCAUAUUUCCAAGUUUCAACCAGUUUAGCAUUUCUUUUCAGCCAUUUUGUCAGCGUCAAUUUCUAUGACAAUUUCAAAACGUUUUGUCGGUGUUUAUGCUUUUUAGGGUAUGUUUGACUAUGUUAUCCAAUUUAUAAUCUAUACUAUGAACCAUGUUAUUAAAGCUUGACUGUAAUGAAUCUAUCCAAUUAUUAACCUAUGUUGAUGCAUUACACAAUGUCACGUGAAAACCAUGUUAUUAAAGCUUGAUUGUAAUGAAUCUAACAAAUUAUUAACCUACGCUGAUGCAUUACACAAUGUCACGUGAAAAGGAGAUAAAAUUGUGAGAAAAUAUGAAAGAGCUAUUAUAAUGGAUAUAGAAUAAAAGGGGUGUACAAUAAGAUCGGUUUCACCAAUUGUAUAUUACUGGAAAAAUGAACUUCUUUCUGUUUUUAAUGUAUAGACCAAAUGCUAUUGAAUGGAAAUUGCAUUCGAACAUCUGGUAUGAGACAUGAACUUCAUUCCACUUGAAGUUUGAAAAUAUAUGUACUAAUGCAGCUGCCAAGCUCAACAUCAUCAUAUAUAAGUACCUUCAGAAAAUCAAUGAACAAAUUUGGAAGAUAAGAAGGCAUGUGUGGACUCCAUUUAUGAUCAGGAAGCUACUAGAUAUUCCUCUCAUAGAUGCUGCCCACAAUUGUCUUCCAGUCCACUUCAAAAUCCAUAUAAGUGGAGGUCUCUCACCCAUUGCAUAGCUGUUAGUAAACCCAAAGCUACCCCUAUGUCGAUGUCUAAUAUUGUGAAAAUCCAUUUCGUUCUAAUUAAAACAAAACCUCCUUUGUCAUCUCCUAUGAAAAUAUUGAUACCCACUAUGUUUAGAGCACUUGAAAAGCACACAUCCACAUUGCAUUUGAAACGUCCUGCAGGAGGUUUCGUCUAACGAUUGCAACCGGUGAUGACAGGGGACUUUUACUCCUAAAAUGAAUUUCACUCCUUCUUGAAUGUUGAUUAUUUGGUUUCCCAUUCAAAUGUUAUACACAUCAGUAGACUUUGGACAGAUUUUUUAUGCCUGCGGGUGAUAGAUAGGAUAAAGAUAAACCAUCUUUAUUUCUUCAAGCAAACAAUAUUUUUGUUAACUUCAAAACUUUGUAACAGAUAAUGAGUGUAAUUGUGUGGGUUUAUUCUGGUGCCAAACAAUACCAUUGGCCCCUUGAACAACCUUUUCCUAAAGGUUGACGUCAGGAAACCGCUGCUGAAUUAUUUCCUUGUCCUCCCAAGUUGCAUUGUCAACUGGUCUAUCUUGUCACUGUAUCAAGACUUCUGGUCUGCUUGUAUCCUGGUACGUUAGUUGUCUGGUUUCCAGAACGUGAGUUGGUUGCAGAAUCACCCCUUCAAAUAGAAACUCUGUUGUCACGGUUUGGUGCCCUACUGCUCUCCUUAAUUGAGACAUGGAAAGCAGAGUGUACUCUUUUCAAACAGAGUUUAAAUUUAAAAGCUACUGGCCCAACUUGUUAAAGAACACAUCAUUCUUUGUCAAAGUCAUUGAUGCUUCUGAACAUGCAAAGACCAUGGAAAUAUUAUAUGAGUUGCUGAACAAUUUUAUUGAGAUUGGUGAGCUAAAUGUUGUGUAGGUUGAUUACUGACAAUGGAAGUAACUUUGUUACGGUUGUAAACUGUUAAUGAGGAACAAACCCCACUUCUUUUGGACUUCAAGUGUUUCACAUUGUAUAGACAAGGAGGGAUUAGUCUUCUAGGUUACAUUUAUAACCACACAUCUUCUUUGAACUUAAUGAGGAAGAAAACCAUCAAUGUUGAGUUGGUUAGGCAUGGAGUUACGAGCUUUGCUACCAAAUUCCUUACGUUGCAAAGGUUACCCAAACUAAAAUCCAAGCUUAGGUAGAUGUUUAUAUCUAAAGAUAGGUUGAAUUUGUGUUAAGGAUCCUAAAGAAAGAAGGAAAUCGUAAGUGCAAUUAUGCCAUCUUUUUGAAAUGAUGUAAUCUACACUCUUCUAAUGGGUGAAAUAUAUGCAGCAAUGGAGGUUGCCAACGAUUCAAUAAGAAAUAUGGGAGUGCCAUGUGUUGUUAAUUGAUAUAUGAGUUUUUCAUUGAACGACGGUGUAGCCUUUAUUAUGAGUGGCAUUGCUUCUUUAAAUUGUAUGCCAUCUAUAUAUAUAUAUAUUUUUGAAUUUGAAACUUGCUUCAUUCUAAUGUUUGGAUUGUGCCUAUGUGGCACCUCUAAAGAAGCUUGGUUUCUACUCUCUUAUUCUAUCUAAUAAUAAUCUAAUAGUUGUAAUAGAUAGAUAGAUGAUCAGAGAAGUAGGAGAGACAAAUGAAGGAAGAGAGAGAAAAGAGGGUGGGGAAGUUGAGAGAAUUGCCCCUCAAUUUUUGCAAAUGGACAAAAUUAUCCCAUGCCAUAUAAGGGGUGUACAAUGGGGUUUGCCACAUGGGGUUGUCUACCAAUCACCACUAUGUUUGUUUAGGGACUCUCAUAUGGUGUUGUUCAAGGAUGGAAACAACCUACAAAUAUCCGCGGAUAAAAUCAAUCACAAACACGGAGUAAAUACCGUAAUAUAUAGAUGAAUAAAAUAAAUGGAUUUUUCAAUUAUUCAUUAUUUAAUGGUAGCCACAUUACAUAAAUAAUCUUACUACUGUUUCAACUAAAGACCUACAGUAAAAAAAAAACUAAAAAUCUAAUACUAUACAGUAUUAUUAUGAGGGCUUCAAUUCUUUAAAACAAACCAAUGUUGUAUUGAUCUUUUUUUUAAUCAAGGAACUUUGUUUUUAUCAAAUGUGAUGUUUUUUUUUAUUAGAAAUGAAAUGUAUGGAUCCUUGUGGAGCUGUUAUUUGGUUUUUAUGUUUUUCGGGUGGGGUGUACCCUAUAUAUGCGGCACCUUUUUGUAUCUUUCUAUCGUCCAUUCCUUGCGCCUUGCGGGGUUGGCGCUAAUAAAUUUUGCCGAUUCAAAAAAAAAAACUAGCAACCAACAAUUUUUUUACUACCUUCCCUAUUUUCCUGUAAUAAACUUGCAUGCGUUAUCAUAUGAUGCGGGUUUAUGCUGGUGCCUAACAAUACCAUCCUCCCACAACCUUGUCCUAAAGGUUGAAGUCAGGAAACUGUUGUUGAAUGGUUGCCUUGUUCUCGCAAGUUGCCAAUCAACUGGUCUGUCUUGCCACUGUAUCAGGACAUGAGAUGAGGUAUGCUUGUAUCCAAAAUGUGUUCUGUUCCCAAAAUGUGAACUGGUUGCAGAAUAAUCCCCCCUUUAGAUAGAAACUCAGCUGGCAACUUUGUUGUCACUAUUUGGUGCCCUACUGCUCUCUUUAAUUGAGAGGCAUGGAAAACAGAUUGUUUUCUUUUCGAAGAACGGGCUUCAAAUUUAAAAUCUACCGUCUUAAUUUGUUUAUAAACCAGCAUUCAAAAGUCCAAAGAUUAUGUUAAUAUGAGUUUAUUCGAGUCACGAGUAGCUAUUAUUCUUAUGGUAUUGCCUCCUGUGGGAAAUUGUACUUUGUAUUUAGCUAUUCAUGAUAGUUACAUGGAAUUUCAUAAUUAUCUACUGCUUGGUCUUGGUUAAGAAUGUUAAGAUUCGUUACUGAAACAAUUUUUAGAAUUCCUUCAUGGUUAAAAAUUACUCAUAUUUUGAUUUAUUACUGCAACUAUUUGGUGGUAAUCGCAUCUUAAUUUGACAGAAAAAGAAAAGGCAUCAGUUAUGCAAUAUGCUGACAUGAGUUAUUUGAUGUGUAUGCAUAUGGAACUGGUAAUGUAGAACUGCAGAUAGCUGAUUCACUGACUUGGGGAUGCCGCUGUCACUCAUAUCAGAAGGAAGCUGAAUUGUGAUGCACCCAACGUUAUGGACUUGAGUUUUCAUUUCUAGAAGAAAGAAACAGAUUCAAGAACUUUUGUGGACUUGGUCACCAAAAUUAUUUCCAUUUUCAACCUGUUUUGCUCCCUUUUUUUUUCAUUUUUGUGAGCAUCUAUUUCUAUGACAAUUUUAAAACUAUGUUGGUGUGUAUGCAUUUAAGGGUUUAUGUUUGAUUAUGUUAUCCAAUUACGAAUCUAAACUAUAAACCAUAUUAUUAAAGCAUGAUUGUCAUGACCUAUCCAAUUAUUAACCUCAGUUGAUGCAUUAUUCAAUUUCUCACCUGAAUAUCUGGUACUAUGCACAAAAAAUGAUAUUAAAUAAUGAUAAAAGAGGAAAGAAGUAUGUGCAAUUGUAGGGGAUAUAAGAUAACUGAAAUCUCUCUUAUAUGGUUUCCUGUCCUGACUGCUGGAAUUUGUUUUCUGAGUGUGAAUAUGAAAAUUUGUAAUUUAUGUGGAAUGAAGAAAACAUGGUAUUAACUCAACUCAAGAGAAUAAUGUCCUUCCUUCUAAUGUCCUUCCUUCUGGAGAAAGCUUGAACAGGCUACAAAUGUCCUUCAGAUUACUUCUUUUUUUAUUGGAGAAAUAGAUUGAUUCAUCAACAACAAUGGCUGAAAAAUAAAAAUGAAAAUCCAUAUAUAACCAUAAUUUUCGUAGACUGCUGGUGGCAAAACUCCAUGAUCAAAUAUCGUGUUUUCUUUACUUGUGUUUUUCAUAUGUUUUUCCUAUGAAUCGGGGUUGCUGUUCUAACAUUGGUUUAUAAUUACAUGGUGAUUUGAAUCGGGGUUUCUGUUCUAACAUUGUCUUUUACAGAUAACAAACGUAAUUGUGAAGAUUGUAAAAUUCACUGUUCAUAAGUCAUCCAUAGAUAUUAUUACCCCAUAACGGAUGUAACGGAUUUAGAAAUCUUUGGAGCCAGAGACAUAAUAAGAAUGUGUUGGGGAUCAUGGUGAAUGUCCCAACUAACACACUUUCAACUCGAAGUAUAAAUGUGUACUACCUAAUUUUUUUUUUUUUUU